GACGAACGCUGGCGGCGUGCUUAACACAUGCAAGUCGAACGGAAAGGCCCUUCGGGGUACUCGAGUGGCGAACGGGUGAGUAACACGUGGGUGAUCUGCCCUGCACUUUGGGAUAAGCCUGGGAAACUGGGUCUAAUACCGAAUAGGACCACGCGCUUCAUGGUGUGUGGUGGAAAGCUUUUGCGGUGUGGGAUGGGCCCGCGGCCUAUCAGCUUGUUGGUGGGGUAAUGGCCUACCAAGGCGACGACGGGUAGCCGGCCUGAGAGGGUGACCGGCCACACUGGGACUGAGAUACGGCCCAGACUCCUACGGGAGGCAGCAGUGGGGAAUAUUGCACAAUGGGCGCAAGCCUGAUGCAGCGACGCCGCGUGAGGGAUGACGGCCUUCGGGUUGUAAACCUCUUUCAAUAGGGACGAAGCGCAAGUGACGGUACCUAUAGAAGAAGCACCGGCCAACUACGUGCCAACAGCCGCGGUAAUACGUAGGGUGCGAGCGUUGUCCGGAAUUACUGGGCGUAAAGAGCUCGUAGGUGGUUUGUCGCGUUGUUCGUGAAAACUCACAGCUUAACUGUGGGCGUGCGGGCGAUACGGGCAGACUAGAGUACUGCAGGGGAGACUGGAAUUCCUGGUGUAGCGGUGGAAUGCGCAGAUAUCAGGAGGAACACCGGUGGCGAAGGCGGGUCUCUGGGCAGUAACUGACGCUGAGGAGCGAAAGCGUGGGGAGCGAACAGGAUUAGAUACCCUGGUAGUCCACGCCGUAAACGGUGGGUACUAGGUGUGGGUUCCUUCCUUGGGAUCCGUGCCGUAGCUAACGCAUUAAGUACCCCGCCUGGGGAGUACGGCCGCAAGGCUAAAACUCAAAGGAAUUGACGGGGGCCCGCACAAGCGGCGGAGCAUGUGGAUUAAUUCGAUGCAACGCGAAGAACCUUACCUGGGUUUGACAUGCACAGGACGCCGGCAGAGAUGUCGGUUCCCUUGUGGCCUGUGUGCAGGUGGUGCAUGGCUGUCGUCAGCUCGUGUCGUGAGAUGUUGGGUUAAGUCCCGCAACGAGCGCAACCCUUGUCCUAUGUUGCCAGCGGGUUAUGCCGGGGACUCGUAGGAGACUGCCGGGGUCAACUCGGAGGAAGGUGGGGAUGACGUCAAGUCAUCAUGCCCCUUAUGUCCAGGGCUUCACACAUGCUACAAUGGCCGGUACAAAGGGCUGCGAUGCCGUGAGGUGGAGCGAAUCCUUUCAAAGCCGGUCUCAGUUCGGAUCGGGGUCUGCAACUCGACCCCGUGAAGUCGGAGUCGCUAGUAAUCGCAGAUCAGCAACGCUGCGGUGAAUACGUUCCCGGGCCU
rnacentral:rRNA from 1 species